CGCCGUUGUACUACUAAGGCUCUGCCUUGCGGUGGCCACUUCCCUCCUUCGGCGACGAGGGGGGGGAAGGGCCCAAACCCAUGGGCGUCUUUGCGAGACCGUUCAGCGUAGCAAGUCGAUCGCUGCGACGGUUUCGUCGAGAAGACGCCAGUCAACGAACGUUUGGCCUCGGAUCAGGUAGGGAUACCCGCUGAACUUAA
rnacentral:misc_RNA from 1 species